rnacentral:rRNA from 1 species
CCUACGGGAGGCAGCAGUAGGGAAUCUUCCACAAUGGGCGAAAGCCUGAUGGAGCAACGCCGCGUGAGUGAUGAAGGCCUUCGGGUUGUAAAACUCUGUCAUUCGGGACGAACCGGAGUCUGAGGAAAUGCAGACUCUCUGACGGUACCGGAGGAGGAAGCCCCGGCUAACUACGUGCCAGCAGCCGCGGUAAUACGUAGGGGGCAAGCGUUGUCCGGAUUCACUGGGCGUAAAGCGCGCGCAGGCGGUGAUGUAAGUCUGAGGUGAAAACCCGAAGCUCAACUUCGGGACUGCCUUGGAUACUGCGUCACUUGAGGAUAGGAGAGGCAAGGGGAAUUCCACGUGUAGCGGUGAAAUGCGUAGAGAUGUGGAGGAACACCUGUGGCGAAGGCGCCUUGCUGGCCUAUUUCUGACGCUGAGGCGCGAAAGCGUGGGGAGCAAACAGGAUUAGAUACCCUGGUAGUCCACGCUGUAAACGAUGAGUGCUAGGUGUAGGUGGGCUCAUACCCAUCUGUGCCGAAGCUAACGCAUUAAGCACUCCGCCUGGGGAGUACGGUCGCGAGACUGAAACUCAAAGGAUUAGACGG